AACGAACGCUGGCGGCAUGCCUAACACAUGCAAGUCGAACGAGACCUUCGGGUCUAGUGGCGCACGGGUGCGUAACGCGUGGGAACCUGCCCUUAGGUUCGGAAUAACUCCCCGAAAGGGGUGCUAAUACCGGAUAAUGUCUUCGGACCAAAGAUUUAUCGCCUUUGGAUGGGCCCGCGUUGGAUUAGCUAGUUGGUAGGGUAAAAGCCUACCAAGGCGACGAUCCAUAGCUGGUCUGAGAGGAUGAUCAGCCACACUGGGACUGAGACACGGCCCAGACUCCUACGCGAGGCAGGAGUGGGGAAUAUUGGAAAAUGGGCGGAAGCCUGAUCCAGCAAUGCCGCGUGAGUGAUGAAGUCCUUAGGGUUGUAAAGCUCUUUUACCCGGGAUGAUAAUGACAGUACCGGGAGAAUAAGCUCCGGCUAACUCCGUG
rnacentral:rRNA from 1 species